GGGCAUGUGGGGCAGCUUACCAUGCAAGUCGAGCGGAACGAUACCAGCUUGCUGGUAGGCGUCGGGCGGCGGACGGGUGAGUAAUACUUAGGAAUCUACCUAGUAGUGGGGGAUAGCUCGGGGAAACUCGAAUUAAUACCGCAUACGACCUACGGGAGAAAGGGGGCAGUUUACUGCUCUCGCUAUUAGAUGAGCCUAAGUCGGAUUAGCUAGAUGGUGGGGUAAAGGCCUACCAUGGCGACGAUCUGUAGCUGGUCUGAGAGGAUGAUCAGCCACACUGGGACUGAGACACGGCCCAGACUCCUACGGGAGGCAGCAGUGGGGAAUAUUGGACAAUGGGGGAAACCCUGAUCCAGCCAUGCCGCGUGUGUGAAGAAGGCCUUUUGGUUGUAAAGCACUUUAAGCAGUGAAGAAGACUCCUCGGCUAAUACCCGUGGACGAUGACAUUAGCUGCAGAAUAAGCACCGGCUAACUCUGUGCCAGCAGCCGCGGUAAUACAGAGGGUGCAAGCGUUAAUCGGAAUUACUGGGCGUAAAGCGAGCGUAGGUGGCUUGAUAAGUCAGAUGUGAAAUCCCCGGGCUUAACCUGGGAACUGCAUCUGAAACUGUUAGGCCAGAGUAGGUGAGAGGAAGGUAGAAUUCCAGGUGUAGCGGUGAAAUGCGUAGAGAUCUGGAGGAAUACCGAUGGCGAAGGCAGCCUUCUGGCAUCAUACUGACACUGAGGCUCGAAAGCGUGGGUAGCACACAGGAUUAGAUACCCUGGUAGUCCACGCCGUAAACGAUGUCUACUAGUCGUUGGGUCCCUUGAGGACUUAGUGACGCAGCUAACGCAAUAAGUAGACCGCCUGGGGAGUACGGCCGCAAGGUCAAAACUCAAAUGAAUUGACGGGGGCCCGCACAAGCGGUGGAGCAUGUGGUUUAAUUCGAUGCAACGCGAAGAACCUUACCUGGUCUUGACAUAUCUAGAAUCCUGCAGAGAUGCGGGAGUGCCUUCGGGAAUUAGAAUACAGGUGCUGCAUGGCUGUC
rnacentral:rRNA from 1 species